rnacentral:rRNA from 1 species
GAUGAACGCUAGCUACAGGCUUAACACAUGCAAGUCGAGGGGUAACGAGAGGAAAGCUUGCUUUCCUUGUCGACGACCGGCGCACGGGUGAGUAACGCGUAUCCAACCUGCCCCCAACUAGGGAAUAACCUUGCGAAAGUAAGACUAAUACCCUAUAAUUUCCUCAGAUGUCAUCUGACGAGGAAUAAAGAUUUAUCGGUUGCGGAUGGGGAUGCGUCUGAUUAGCUUGUUGGCAGGGUAACGGCCCACCAAGGCAACGCUCAGUAGGGGUUCUGAGAGGAAGGUCCCCCACAUUGGAACUGAGACACGGUCCAAACUCCUACGGGAGGCAGCAGUGAGGAAUAUUGGUCAAUGGGCGGAAGCCUGAACCAGCCAAGUAGCGUGCAGGAUGACGGCCCUAUGGGUUGUAAACUGCUUUUAUACAGGAAUAAAGUUAGCCACGUGUGGUUAUUUGUAGGUACUGUAUGAAUAAGGACCGGCUAAUUCCGUGCCAGCCGCCGCAGUAA